GUUGAAACAUCUGUUCCCGAACGAUCACCGAAGUUAAGCAAUGUCGUGCCUGGCCAGUACCUACAUGAGUGACCCCUUGAGAAUACCAGGUGCUGUAAG